GUAGUUGAAGAUCUUUGCUUAGAAGAGGGUAAAAAAAGAGAACAUGAAACAGAAUUUGUCCGACAAAGCUACGAUUCUAUCUUGAGAAAGCGACGAGAACAACUCAUAGAUAGUGACAAUGAUACUACAAUUAUCAGCAAUAGGCCUGAGUUGGAUGCUAUAUCAAAUGUUCUUAAAGAAGCAGAAUCUCUCAAUGUAAAUCAAUUUGGAUUUGACGAAACUUACGGUGGUGGAACGUCUCAAUUUUGUGACUUGGAGUCUGGCGAAGAGGAUGAUUGGAGACUGAAGGACUACCUUCAUCAGGUGGACUCUAGUGUGGAAGUUGCAAUACAGAGACAGAAGGAACAUAUCUCCAUUGAGCUUAGCAAAAUUGAUGCACGAAUUAUGAGGGUGGUUACCGGGAUGCAGCAGUUGGAGUCGAAGCUUGAGCCGGCUUCUUCCCAGGAUUACCGGCGAAUUUUAGUGCCUCUAUUGAAAUCAUUUCUGCGGGCACACUUGGAGGACCUGGCCGAGAAGGAUGCUACCGAGAAAUCUGAUGCCACAAGGGAAGCUUUUCUGGCUGAACUUGCACGUGAUUCCGAAAAGAGUUCAAGUUGGGGAAAUGAGAAGUCUAAACAUGCCCAUGAAAAGACAAAGGACAAGAAAAAGAAACAAGAGUAUCGAAAAGCAAAAGAUUCAAAGCCUAACAGUGGUAAUGAAUUGCAUGUGCUUCACCAUGAGACUGUGGAUCAUGUCUCAUCUCCACUUGCUCAUGAUGGAGAUGAUCAAGAGAGUGAAAUUCCUCAAACUGGUAAUUCCUUAGAUCUACAGGAAGAGGAGUACAAACGUAUGAUUGAGCUUGAAGCCGAGGAAAGGAAGCUAGAAGAAACUUUAGAGUAUCAAAGAAGAAUUGAGAAUGAGGCUAAGCUGAAACAUUUGGCUGAGCAACAUAAGAGAACUGUAAGAGCAGUUCAAGAGAAUAUGGAUGCAGUUACAAAUCCUGAGUCCUACCCGUAUCAAAAGUCGAGUCCUGACACUUACUUGAAGAGUUGUGAUAUU
rnacentral:misc_RNA from 1 species